rnacentral:tRNA from 1 species
ACAUCGGUGGUUCAGUGGUAGAAUGCUCGCCUGCCACGCGGGCGCCCAGGGUUCGAUUCCCGGCCGAUGGA